rnacentral:rRNA from 1 species
AGAUUGAACGCUGGCGGCAUGCCUUACACAUGCAAGUCGAACGGCAGCACGGGAGCAAUCCUGGUGGCGAGUGGCGAACGGGUGAGUAAUACAUCGGAACGUGCCCAGUUGUGGGGGAUAGCCCAGCGAAAGCCGGAUUAAUACCGCAUACGACCUACGGGUGAAAGCGGGGGAUCGCAAGACCUCGCGCUAUUGGAGCGGCCGAUGUCGGAUUAGCUUGUUGGUAGGUAAAAGCCUACCAAGGCUACGAUCCGUAGCUGGUCUGAGAGGACGACCAGCCACACUGGGACUGAGACACGGCCCAGACUCCUACGGGAGGCAGCAGUGGGAAUUUUGGACAAUGGGCGAAAGCCGUGAUCCAGCCCAUGCCGCGUGCGGGAAGAGGCCUUGGGUUGUAAACCGUCUUUUGUCGUAGGAAGAACGGUUCGAGU